rnacentral:tRNA from 1 species
GAGGGUAUAGCUCAAGCGGUAGAGUGCAUGCCUAGCAUGCACAAGGUCCUGGGUUCAAUCCCCAGUACCUCCU